UGCCCAGACUUUAUUUACUGUCAAUCAACGCAGACGACGCUUUUGAAUAUUGAACCAAGUUCAUUAAUUAAUCCUCGUUUUUGUCUAAAAGUUUUAGGAAAGAUUUCGUUUAUAAUUUCGUAGAUAUUAUUUUUUGUGUUAUUAACUACGUUCCAAAAUCUAUUAUGUGGGUCGGAACCAUUCCGUGACAUUUUACUAGUAAUGCUAAGCGGUAAGAGAAUUGUCUGGGUUGAGCAGGAAGUUUUUUGUUGGCCUCAUAAUACGAGAGAUUAUCUGUAGCCAUUAGUUUUUCAAUUUCCUUUUGUCUGCUAUUUUGUUUGUAGCUCCAUGGUCUUUUCCACAAAAAAUGCACUUUACCAUGUUUUCACAAUCAGAUCGAGAGUGCUCUUCUCCACAUCUUGCGCAUCUCGAUUUACUUCUGCAAUUUGCUUGUGAGUGGCCGUAUCAUAAGCAAUUAUGGCAUUGUAUGACGGGGUCAAUGAACAGAAGAGUUCCACGUAUUUCGGGAUCAUUUUUCCCUGGAAUGUGAUUACAACGGAUUCACUGGCAAUGACCUUCUUUAUGGUAGAUGUGCACAUGACGACAUCUUCGAUGGGGAUAUCCUUAGAGCCACUCCGAAUUAAACCCUUACAUGUGACUAAGGAGGCCGGAACGGAAGCUGUGAAUCCAAGAUCCUUGAAACAAUUAUUAUCCACAAAAUUGUUAGCAUGGAUGGAUUGUUUAAUUUCGAUGCCUACUUGCUGAGGACCUUUUUUGAGACUCUGAUUACACCCUGAAUACCUGCAGUGAGGAGCCAUCGUUACCAUUUUGAGACGUGUUAGAUACCUGGGGUUGUACAAUGACCACGAAAGGGCUUUGGUCUGACGUGGAGUAGCGUAGCGUAGCGGUGGCGGUGUCUGUGUGCUAUCAGGAGGGGGUGGUCCCCCCUCCCUCGGGGGUAACUGUCAUGCAAAGCCUAGGAGAUUAAGUGCUUCCACGAGCCAAAAUCAAAGGAAAUGGGACGAUAAAACAAAAUAAAGAAGAAGCAAGGACCUAUAUUGUGAGGUUAUGAAGCUCUGUCGGGUUGUCAAAGCAGCUACCAGCGGGAAGGGGGAAGUCUACUUACGCCUUUCACUGUUGGACACUAAAUUUUUGAUUGUUUCAAUCAAUUAUUUAAAAAAUCACUCGCAGAACGGAGAACCACGUGGUCGUUACAAGUUAUUGUGACGGGCUUGUUCUUUUUAAUGAUGUAGACUUAAAGUCUUCAAUAAUAUGUAAAAAGAUCAAAAAACUUAAGUCAUUGCGCGGUCGAGAACACGGAAUUCUCGUUAUUCGCUACAAUAAUAAAACUAGAACGAGCGAGUUUCGCAGAAGACAUAAAAUCUUAGUACGCUUUUAUGUCCCAUAAAAGUUAGUAUAAUCCAUUCACGAGGCUGUUGCCGCUAAGCAAUAUAACGAAGCCGAGGGUGACAGGUACCAGUGCACCCAAAACAUUUCGCCCUCGAUUUGGGUUGGGUGACGACACUUCUUCAUGCGAAAAAUAUUCUCAUACAUAAUUAUUAUUAGCCGUAGGAUAUUAGGUCCAUGUAUCGUAUUUUUAUUAUUUCAUUUUAUAAAACGAAUAUUUGUUAAAUAUUUUUAAAUAAAUUUUAAAAUUUGAGUCGUUACAUUUUUGUUAUCACUGAUCCGGAAUUCUGCUUCUCAUUUGAAAGUUUUACCUCACUAUCUUCCUCUUACUCCAACAACAUACAGUGACACGGAAAAACAAGAAUAGACAUAUUGAGUAGGUACCGAAAACCGUCGAUUUUCACAACAAGAGAAACAGGCACGAGCGUUCGGUUUGAAGGUGAUUAUGAAGAUUUACAAGGGCUUUUUUUAUGGCUUAGCGGCAACAACAGCGUGAAUGGAUUAUACCCGGUUCGCUCGCAUGUCCUUGCCACGUGGCUUAGCGGCAACAACAGCGUGAAUGGAUUAUACCCGGUUCGCUCGCAUGUCCUUGCCACGUGCACUGAGGAAGAGAUGACGUCACAGAUUAGCUUAGAACCAGUUAAUCUGUGACGACAUUUUAU